CAAUAGCAUAGAUGACUCAAGGGUGGUCGGCUCACUUAUCCCUCCAGGGAGGGAGGUGAUGCCUCUGACGGUAUUCGAAACGCUGACGCUGAUGAUUUCAUUCGGUACGCUCAUCGUUGCGAUCAUGUCUGAUAGAAACCAAAAAAAAUAACCACCCUUGAGUGACGGCUCAUGAUGGGUAGGUUAUUUUUCGCUCUUUUGUGGGCUGAUUCCUUUGAGGAAUCCUUGCUAUUGCU
rnacentral:sRNA from 1 species